rnacentral:lncRNA from 1 species
GAGGUGUUUUGUUUUUUUGAGAUGUAUCUCGAUAUUAGUCCAGGCUGGCCUCAAAUUUAUGGCAAUCCUCCUGUCUCAGCCUCUUGAGUGCUGGAAUUGCGCUGGGGUCUGCAGGAGAUAAUUAAAGUAGAUGAAGUAUUAGGAGGAGGCCAUUCUCGUGAGACUGGACUUUGUAAGGAGCGUGUUCUCUGUCUCUGUGUCAUGCAGCUUGUCUUCUCAGGGGAAGAGGGCUCUAACCGGAAUCCAGUCAUGCCAGCACCCUGCUCUGGGACUUACAGCAUCUGGAAUUGUUCUUGUUUUCAUGGAGCUUGAAGUGAUGGAGCCCAAGCUGGAGUGGAUAAGGAUUUCACCCAAGGCCUCACUCAUGGUCCCUUGUGCUGGCUCAGAGGUGCAGAGAUAGGAGCUUUUUGUGUGCCCUGCCUUCUCAGCUGGUGCUGGCUCCUUCCUCAGACUGUAUCUCACACUGGAACCAAGUGGGAGGGCAGCACCCAGCUCUGCCAGGUGAAAAGGACGUGCAGAAAGCCUGGCCAUUUGCCCACGUCCCACAGCUUGUGAAGAUUCCGUGGAAGCUGCAGGAAGAAGCUUGGGUCUCAGGAACAAUGGCCUGGCAGCCUUCAAGAGGCUAGACUAAGAGAAAAGGCUAAUGCCAUGAAGAUGAAUUAUGAUGCCCCUGCAUCAACUUCUUUUUUUUACUCCUCAUGUUGCUAUGGAAAGACCAGAGUAAUUGUAUUUUAAUAAUAAUAAAACAAUAAUCGUACUCAUCUACAU